GACGAACGCUGGCGGCGUGCUUAACACAUGCAAGUCGAACGGAAAGGCCCUGCUUGCAGGGUGCUCGAGUGGCGAACGGGUGAGUAACACGUGGGUGAUCUGCCCCUUAUUUUGGGAUAAGCCUGGGAAACUGGGUCUAAUACUGGAUAGGACCAUGCUGUAGGUGGUGUGGUGGAAAGAUUAGUUUCGGUAAGGGAUGAGCUCGCGGCCUAUCAGCUUGUUGGUGGGGUAAUGGCCUACCAAGGCGUCGACGGGUAGCCGGCCUGAGAGGGUGGACGGCCACAUUGGGACUGAGAUACGGCCCAGACUCCUACGGGAGGCAGCAGUGGGGAAUAUUGCACAAUGAGCGCAAGCCUGAUGCAGCGACGCCGCGUGGGGGAUGACGGCCUUCGGGUUGUAAACUCCUUUCAGCCAUGACGAAGCCCUUGUGGUGACGGUAGUGGUAGAAGAAGCACCGGCUAACUACGUG
rnacentral:rRNA from 1 species